rnacentral:rRNA from 1 species
AUACCUAAGCGUUACUGCGUUUAAAUGUUCCUAGCUGGGAGCAGGUCCGGCGGAGGGGUCAUCAAAAGAGAUUCCGAAAGCGGACCGAAGGGGGGCUGCGCUUUAAUCUAAGUGCCUGAAAUGCUGCGAGUUCCUUUUGGAAGCAGAGGGUGCGCGCACAACUCCCCGCCCACCGUCAGAUUCGUCUGGUGGUGGGAGCAUGGAGAAGUUCGACGGCAGGAGUAUUGUUUGACGAGAGGUGGAAUUCACUGACUCAAACAGGACUACCAGUGGCGA